CUUGACAUGUAAGGAACCCUGGUGAGGGGUGGGAGUGCCCGAAAGGGAGCCUGAACACAGGUGCUGCAUGGCUGUCGUCAGCUCGUGUCGUGAGAUGUUGGGUUAAGUCCCGCAACGAGCGCAACCCUUGUCCCUAGUUGCUACGAAAGGGCACUCUAAGGAGACUGCCGGUGACAAACCGGAGGAAGGUGGGGAUGACGUCAAGUCCUCAUGGCCCCUAUGGGUAG
rnacentral:rRNA from 1 species